AACGAACGCUGGCGGCAGGCUUAACACAUGCAAGUCGAGCGGGCCCUUCGGGGUCAGCGGCAGACGGGUGAGUAACACGUGGGAACGUACCUUUUGGUUCGGAACAACUCCGGGAAACUGGAGCUAAUACCGGAUAAGCCCUUAGGGGGAAAGAUUUAUCGCCAAAAGAUCGGCCCGCGUCUGAUUAGCUAGUUGGUGGGGUAACGGCCCACCAAGGCGACGAUCAGUAGCUGGUCUGAGAGGAUGAUCAGCCACACUGGGACUGAGACACGGCCCAGACUCCUACGGGAGGCAGCAGUGGGGAAUAUUGGACAAUGGGCGCAAGCCUGAUCCAGCCAUGCCGCGUGAGUGAUGAAGGCCUUAGGGUUGUAAAGCUCUUUUGUCCGGGAAGACAAUGACUGUACCGGAAGAAUAAGCCCCGGCUAACUUCGUG
rnacentral:rRNA from 1 species